rnacentral:rRNA from 1 species
UGGGGAAUUUUGCACAAUGGGGGAAACCCUGAUGCAGCGACGCCGCGUGAUUUAGAAGGCCUUCGGGUUGUAAAAAUCUUUUGUAUAGGAAGAAAAUGACAGUACUAUACGAAUAAGGACCGGCGAAUUACGUGCCAGCAGCCGCGGUAAUACGUAAGGUCCGAGCGUUGUCCGGAAUCAUUGGGCGUAAAGGGUACGUAGGCGGGUAAGCAAGUUAGAAGUGAAAUCCUAUAGCUCAACUAUAGUAAGCUUUUAAAACUGCUCAUCUUGAGGUAUGGAAGGGAAAGUGGAAUUCCUAGUGUAACGGUGAAAUGCGCAGAUAUUAGGAGGAAUACCGGUGGCGAAGGCGACUUUCUGGCCAUAACCUGACGCUGAGGUACGAAAGCGUGGGUAGCAAACAGG